UACGUAGGGUGCAGGCGUUAAUCGGAAUUACUGGGCGUAAAGCGUGCGCAGGCGGUCUUUUAAGUCAGAUGUGAAAUCCCCGGGCUUAACUGGGGAACUGCGUCUGAUACUGGAUGGCUUGAGUUUGGGAGAGGGAUGCGGAAUUCCAGGUGUAGCGGUGAAAUGCGUAGAUAUCUGGAGGAACACCGGUGGCGAAGGCGGCAUCCUGGACCAACACUGACACUGAUGAGCGAAAGCCAGGGGAGCAAACGGG
rnacentral:rRNA from 1 species